UGAGGAAUAUUGGACAAUGGGCGCAAGCCUGAUCCAGCCAUGCCGCGUGAAUGAUGAAGGCCUUAGGGUUGUAAAGUUCUUUUAGCUGUGAAGAUUAUGACGGUAACAGCAGAAAAAGCCCCGGCUAACUCCGUGCCAGCAGCCGCGGUAAUACGGAGGGGGCGAGCGUUGUUCGGAUUUACUGGGCGUAAAGCGUGCGUAGGUGGUUUCCCAAGUUAGAAGUGAAAGCCCAGGGCUUAACCCUGGAACUGCUUUUAAAACUGGGUCACUAGAAUGUAGGAGAGGUAGAUGGAAUUCCGAGUGUAGAGGUGAAAUUCGUAGAUAUUCGGAGGAACACCAAUGGCGAAAGCAGUCUACUGGACUAUUAUUGACACUGAGGCACGAAAGCGUGGGGAGCAAACAG
rnacentral:rRNA from 1 species